GGCGAACGCUGGCGGCGUGCUUAACACAUGCAAGUCGAACGGAAAGGCCCUGCUUUUGUGGGGUGCUCGAGUGGCGAACGGGUGAGUAACACGUGAGUAACCUGCCCUUGACUUUGGGAUAACUCCAGGAAACUGGGGCUAAUACCGGAUAGGAGCUCCUGCUGCAUGGUGGGGGUUGGAAAGUUUCGGCGGUUGGGGAUGGACUCGCGGCUUAUCAGCUUGUUGGUGGGGUAGUGGCUUACCAAGGCUUUGACGGGUAGCCGGCCUGAGAGGGUGACCGGCCACAUUGGGACUGAGAUACGGCCCAGACUCCUACGGGAGGCAGCAGUGGGGAAUAUUGCACAAUGGGCGGAAGCCUGAUGCAGCAACGCCGCGUGCGGGAUGACGGCCUUCGGGUUGUAAACCGCUUUCGCCUGUGACGAAGCGUGAGUGACGGUAAUGGGUAAAGAAGCACCGGCUAACUACGUG
rnacentral:rRNA from 1 species